rnacentral:lncRNA from 1 species
UCAGCUCCCACCAUCGGCUUCUCGCAUGCGGCUGCCUCACCGUGCCCAGAGGGCAUCCCUCUUGGACUGCAGUGUCCACCAGAGACACAAACAGAGAAAACAUGAGUUCCUCCUCCACCGCCCUCCCCCAACCCAUCUCCCAAAUUCAGAUAGCAAAGGAAAGAAAACAUCAGCCAAACUUCACCUACACAGACAUCAACCUGGGAAACGGAAUGGCAGUCUUGGACUUCUUGCAGGAUUCCCAAAUCCUCACUUGUCUACUUGUUUUGGAGGAGAGCUAUCCUAAUUCAGUCAGCCAGUUCAUGCCUGAUUGGCAGUUUCAUAGGAUGACCUGCUUGUGUCUGUGUUCCUAUAUCUUCAGCUAUCUGCCAGUGACCUCUGCCUCA